rnacentral:rRNA from 1 species
UACGAAGGACCCAAGCGUUAUCCGGAUUUAUUGGGUUUAAAGGGUGCGUAGGCGGGCAGGUAAGUCAGUGGUGAAAUCUCCGGGCUUAACCCGGAAACUGCCGUUGAUACUAUCUGUCUUGAAUAUCGUGGAGGUAAGCGGAAUAUGUCAUGUAGCGGUGAAAUGCUUAGAUAUGACAUAGAACACCGAUUGCGAAGGCAGCUUACUACACGAUCAUUGACGCUGAGGCACGAAAGCGUGGGGAGCAAACAGG